GGUUAAGUGACUAAGCGUACAGGGCGGAUGCCUUGGCAAUCAGAGGCGAAGAAGGACGUGCUAAUCUGCGAAAAGCUUGGAUGAGUCGAUAAGAGGCGUUUAAUCCAAGAUGUCCGAAUGGGGAAACCCGAUGGAUGAAGAAUCCAUCAUUUCAUUGUGAAUACAUAGCAAUGAAAGGCGAACCGGGAGAACUGAAACAUCUAAGUACCCCGAGGAAAAGAAAUCAACCGAGAUUCUGUGAGUAGCGGCGAGCGAAAGCGGAAGAGCCAGUAAGUUUUAGCUAGUGUAUUAGAGGAAUUGGCUGGGAAGCCAAAUCAAAGAGGGUGAUAAUCCCGUACUCGAAAAUACGAUAGUGGAACUAAGCUUACGAUAAGUAGGGCGGGACACGAGAAAUCCUGUUUGAAGAUGGGGGGACCAUCCUCCAAGGCUAAAUACUCCUGAUUGACCGAUAGUGAACCAGUACUGUGAAGGAAAGGCGAAAAGAACCCCGGUGAGGGGAGUGAAAUAGAACCUGAAACCCUGUACGUACAAGCAGUAGGAGCGAGGGCAACCUUGUGACUGCGUACCUUUUGUAUAAUGGGUCAGCGACUUAUAUUUUGUAGCGAGGUUAACUGAAUAAGGGAGCCGAAGGGAAACCGAGUCUUAACUGGGCGUUGAGUUGCAAGGUAUAGACCCGAAACCCGGUGAUCUAGCCAUGGGCAGGUUGAAGGUUGGGUAACACUAACUGGAGGACCGAACCGACUAAUGUUGAAAAAUUAGCGGAUGACUUGUGGCUGGGGGUGAAAGGCCAAUCAAACCGGGAGAUAGCUGGUUCUCCCCGAAAUCUAUUUAGGUAGAGCCUUGAGCGGACACCUUCGGGGGUAGAGCACUGUUUCGGCUAGGGGUCCAUCCCGGAUUACCAACCCGAUGCAAACUGCGAAUACCGAAGAGUGAUACUCAGGAGACACACGGCGGGUGCUAACGUUCGUCGUGGAGAGGGAAACAACCCAGACCGCCAGCUAAGGUCCCAAAGUCUAUAUUAAGUGGGAAACGAAGUGGGAAGGCUUAGACAGCUAGGAUGUUGGCUUAGAAGCAGCCAUCAUUUAAAGAAAGCGUAAUAGCUCACUAGUCGAGUCGGCCUGCGCGGAAGAUGUAACGGGGCUCAAAUAUAGCACCGAAGCUGCGGCAUCAGAAUUUAUUCUGUUGGGUAGGGGAGCGUUGUGUAAGCGGAAGAAGGUGGCUCGAGAGGGUUGCUGGACGUAUCACAAGUGCGAAUGCUGACAUAAGUAACGAUAAAACGAGUGAAAAACUCGUUCGCCGGAAGACCAAGGGUUCCUGUCCAACGUUAAUCGGGGCAGGGUGAGUCGGCCCCUAAGGCGAGGCUGAAAAGCGUAGUCGAUGGGAAACGGGUUAAUAUUCCCGUACUUGGUAAAGCUGCGAUGUGGGGACGGAGAAGGUUAGGUAAGCGGACUGUUGGAAAUGUUCGUUUAAGCAGGUAGUUGGAAAGGGUAGGCAAAUCCGCUCUUUCAUACAACAACGAGACGUGAUGACGAGUUCCUAAGGGAAUGAAGUUACCGAUACCCGGCUUCCAGGAAAAGCCACUAAGCGAAAGGCUUUACUAAACCGUACUGAAAACCGACACAGGUGGUCAGGUAGAGAAUACUCAGGCGCUUGAGAGAACUCGGGUGAAGGAACUAGGCAAAAUAGCACCGUAACUUCGGGAGAAGGUGCGCUUACAGUAAUUGUAGUCCCUUGCGGAUGAAGGUGAAGUAAGUCGAAGAUACCAGCUGGCUGCAACUGUUUAUUAAAAACACAGCACUCUGCAAACACGAAAGUGGACGUAUAGGGUGUGAUGCCUGCCCGGUGCUGGAAGGUUAAUUGAUGGUGUUAUCGAAAGAGAAGCUCCUGAUCGAAGCCCCAGUAAACGGCGGCCGUAACUAUAACGGUCCUAAGGUAGCGAAAUUCCUUGUCGGGUAAGUUCCGACCUGCACGAAUGGCAUAAUGAUGGCCAGGCUGUCUCCACCCGAGACUCAGUGAAAUUGAAAUCGCCGUGAAGAUGCGGUGUACCCGCGGCUAGACGGAAAGACCCCGUGAACCUUUACUAUAGCUUGACACUGAACAUUGAAUUUUGAUGUGUAGGAUAGGUGGGAGCCUUUGAAGCAGUGACGCCAGUCAUUGUGGAGGCGACCUUGAAAUACCACCCUUUAACGUUUGAUGUUCUAACGAAGUGCCUGAAACGGGUACUCGGACAGUGUCUGGUGGGUAGUUUGACUGGGGCGGUCUCCUCCCAAAGCGUAACGGAGGAGCACGAAGGUUUGCUAAUGACGGUCGGACAUCGUCAGGUUAGUGCAAUGGUAUAAGCAAGCUUAACUGCGAGACGGACAAGUCGAGCAGGUGCGAAAGCAGGUCAUAGUGAUCCGGUGGUUCUGAAUGGAAGGGCCAUCGCUCAACGGAUAAAAGGUACUCCGGGGAUAACAGGCUGAUACCGCCCAAGAGUUCAUAUCGACGGCGGUGUUUGGCACCUCGAUGUCGGCUCAUCACAUCCUGGGGCUGAAGUAGGUCCCAAGGGUAUGGCUGUUCGCCAUUUAAAGUGGUACGCGAGCUGGGUUUAGAACGUCGUGAGACAGUUCGGUCCCUAUCUGCCGUGGGCGUUGGAUGAUUGAUUGGGGCUGCUCCUAGUACGAGAGGACCGGAGUGGACGCAUCACUGGUGUUCCAGUUGUCUCGCCAGAGGCAUUGCUGGGUAGCUAAAUGCGGAAGAGAUAAGUGCUGAAAGCAUCUAAGCACGAAACUUGCCAAGAGAUGAGUCAUCCCUGACUUUAAGUCAGUAAGGGUUGUUUAAGACUAAGACGUAGAUAGGUUGGGUGUGUAAGUGUAGUGAUACAUUGAGCUAACCAAUACUAAUUGCCCGAGAGGCUUAACCAU
rnacentral:rRNA from 1 species